GACGAACGCUGGCGGCGUGCCUAAUACAUGCAAGUCGAACGCAUUUUCUUUCACCGUAGCUUGCUACACCGAAAGAAAAUGAGUGGCGGACGGGUGAGUAACACGUGGGUAACCUGCCCAUCAGCGGGGGAUAACACUUGGAAACAGGUGCUAAUACCGCAUAAUUCCAUUUACCGCAUGGUAAAUGGAUGAAAGGCGCUUUUGCGUCACUGAUGGAUGGACCCGCGGUGCAUUAGCUAGUUGGUGGGGUAACGGCCUACCAAGGCUGCGAUGCAUAGCCGACCUGAGAGGGUGAUCGGCCACACUGGGACUGAGACACGGCCCAGACUCCUACGGGAGGCAGCAGUAGGGAAUCUUCGGCAAUGGACGCAAGUCUGACCGAGCAACGCCGCGUGAGUGAAGAAGGUUUUCGGAUCGUAAAACUCUGUUGUUAGAGAAGAACAAGGAUGAGAGUGGAAAGUUCAUCCCUUGACGGUAUCUAACCAGAAAGCCACGGCUAACUACGUG
rnacentral:rRNA from 1 species